UACGUAGGCAGCGAGCGUUGUUCGGAGUUACUGGGCGUAAAGAGUGCGUAGGCGGUUUUCUAAGUUUGGUGUGAAAUCUCCCGGCUCAACUGGGAGGGUGCGCCGAGGACUGGAAGGCUUGAGUAUGGGAGAGGUAAGCGGAAUUCCUGGUGUAGCGGUGAAAUGACGUAGAUAUCUGGAGGAACACCGGUGGCGAAGGCGGCAUCCUGGACCGGUAUUGACGCUGAGGCGCGAAAGCCAGGGGAGCAAACGGG
rnacentral:rRNA from 1 species